GUAAGGAAUAUUGGUCAAUGGACGAAAGUCUGAACCAGCCAUGCCGCGUGGAGGAUGAAGGUCCUCUGGAUUGUAAACUUCUUUUAUUUGGGACGAAAAAAGGGCAUUCUUGCUCACUUGACGGUACCAGAUGAAUAAGCACCGGCUAACUCCGUGCCAGCAGCCGCGGUAAUACGGAGGGUGCAAGCGUUAUCCGGAUUCACUGGGUUUAAAGGGUGCGUAGGCGGGCAUUUAAGUCAGCGGUGAAAUCCCCGAGCUUAACUUGGGAACUGCCGUUGAUACUAUUUGUCUUGAAUGUCGUGGAGGUCAGCGGAAUAUGUCAUGUAGCGGUGAAAUGCUUAGAUAUGACAUAGAACACCUAUUGCGAAGGCAGCUGACUACGCGAUUAUUGACGCUGAGGCACGAAAGCGUGGGGAUCAAACAGGAUUAGAAACCCGAGUAGUCC
rnacentral:rRNA from 1 species